GGCGGGGGGCUACCAUGCAGUCGACGGUAGGCCCCAGCUUGCUGGGGUACACGAGUGGCGAACGGGUGAGUAACACGUGGGUGACCUGCCCCGCACUUCGGGAUAAGCCUGGGAAACUGGGUCUAAUACCGGAUAGGACCGCACCGUGAGGGUGUGGUGGAAAGUUUUUCGGUGUGGGAUGGGCCCGCGGCCUAUCAGCUUGUUGGUGGGGUAAUGGCCUACCAAGGCGGCGACGGGUAGCCGGCCUGAGAGGGUGGACGGCCACAUUGGGACUGAGACACGGCCCAGACUCCUACGGGAGGCAGCAGUGGGGAAUAUUGCACAAUGGGCGGAAGCCUGAUGCAGCGACGCCGCGUGGGGGAUGACGGCCUUCGGGUUGUAAACUCCUUUCACCAUCGACGAAGGUUUUCUGACGGUAGAUGGAGAAGAAGCACCGGCUAACUACGUGCCAGCAGCCGCGGUAAUACGUAGGGUGCGAGCGUUGUCCGGAAUUACUGGGCGUAAAGAGCUCGUAGGUGGUUUGUCGCGUCGUCUGUGAAAUUCCGGGGCUUAACUCCGGGCGUGCAGGCGAUACGGGCAUAACUUGAGUACUGUAGGGGAGACUGGAAUUCCUGGUGUAGCGGUGAAAUGCGCAGAUAUCAGGAGGAACACCGGUGGCGAAGGCGGGUCUCUGGGCAGUAACUGACGCUGAGGAGCGAAAGCAUGGGUAGCGAACAGGAUUAGAUACCCUGGUAGUCCAUGCCGUAAACGGUGGGCGCUAGGUGUAGGGGUCUUCCACGACUUCUGUGCCGUAGCUAACGCAUUAAGCGCCCCGCCUGGGGAGUACGGCCGCAAGGCUAAAACUCAAAGGAAUUGACGGGGGCCCGCACAAGCGGCGGAGCAUGUGGAUUAAUUCGAUGCAACGCGAAGAACCUUACCUGGGCUUGACAUAUACGGGACCGGGCCAGAGAUGGUCCUUCCCUUGUGGCUCGUAUACAGGUGGUGCAUGGUUGUCGUCAGCUCGUGUCGUGAGAUGUUGGGUUAAGUCCCGCAACGAGCGCAACCCUUGUCUUAUGUUGCCAGCACGUAAUGGUGGGGGACUCGUGAAGAAACUGCCGGGGUCAACUCGGAAGGAAGGUGGGGGAUGACGUCAAAUCAUCAUGGCCCUUAAUGUCCAGGGCUUCCAACAUGGCUACAAUGGGUCGGUACAGUGGGGUUGCCAAUGCCCGUGAAGUGGGAAGUUAAUCCCUUGAAAGCCCGGUCUUC
rnacentral:rRNA from 1 species